rnacentral:rRNA from 1 species
UGGGGAAUCUUGCGCAAUGGACGAAAGUCUGACGCAGCAACGCCGCGUGGGGGAUGAAGCUUCUCGGAGUGUAAACCCCUUUCGACCCGGAAGAAUGCCCGCAAGGGUUUGACGGUACGGGUAUAAGAAGCCCCGGCUAACUACGUGCCAGCAGCCGCGGUAAUACGUAGGGGGCCAGCGUUGCUCGGAAUUACUGGGCGUAAAGGGUCCGUAGGCGGUGUGGCAAGUCGGGAGUGAAAUCUCUGGGCUUAACCCAGAGGCUGCUUCCGAAACUGCCGUGCUAGAGUGUGAGAGAGGCGAGUGGAAUUACGGGUGUAGCGGUGAAAUGCGUAGAUAUCCGUAGGAACAUCCGAGGCGAAGGCGGCUCGCUGGAUCACAACUGACGCUGAGGGACGAAAGCUAGGGGAGCAAACAGGAUUAGAUACCCUGGUAGUCCUAGCCCUAAACCAUCAGGACUUGGGGUUUGCCCUGUACGGGGCAAGUCCCGUAGCUAACGCGUUAAGUCCUGCGCCUGGGGAGUACGGUCGCAAGACUG